GUGUGCCUAAUACAUGCAAGUCGAACGCGUUGGCCCAAUUGAUUGAUGGUGCUUGCACCUGAUUGAUUUUGGUCGCCAACGAGUGGCGGACGGGUGAGUAACACGUAGGUAACCUGCCCAGAAGCGGGGGACAACAUUUGGAAACAGAUGCUAAUACCGCAUAACARCGUUGUUCGCAUGAACAACGCUUAAAAGAUGGCUUCUCGCUAUCACUUCUGGAUGGACCUGCGGUGCAUUAGCUUGUUGGUGGGGUAACGGCCUACCAAGGCGAUGAUGCAUAGCCGAGUUGAGAGACUGAUCGGCCACAAUGGGACUGAGACACGGCCCAUACUCCUACGGGAGGCAGCAGUAGGGAAUCUUCCACAAUGGGCGCAAGCCUGAUGGAGCAACACCGCGUGAGUGAAGAAGGGUUUCGGCUCGUAAAGCUCUGUUGUUAAAGAAGAACACGUAUGAGAGUAACUGUUCAUACGUUGACGGUAUUUAACCAGAAAGUCACGGCUAACUACGUGCCAGCAGCCGCGGUAAUACGUAGGUGGCAAGCGUUAUCCGGAUU
rnacentral:rRNA from 2 species